CUUGACCGAGCCGAGCCACAGCGGGUGACCCUCGGGACGAUCCUGACCGUACGUGGCGAUGACCGCCUGCGCCUC
rnacentral:antisense_RNA from 1 species